rnacentral:lncRNA from 1 species
GUGAAUGUGUUUUCUCCGCAAGAUUCUUCGUAAAUAUAAAUUUUUUUCUAAGAUUUAUUUUUCGUAAAACCGUUCAUGCCAAUUUUUACGGACUUUCAGACAUUGAUUCCGUCGUGACCGAUUUUGACCCCAACAGUUAGCCCCCCAGAUCGUUAGAACCAUGAGCUUCUAAUGUGAGGUUUUAGCGAGUGGCUUGGCAAGUUAGGUGAGUUAGGCGGAAUUAAUGGUCGAAAAGGUCCGUGGUAAGUGGUCUUCUCGCUCUUCUAAA